GGAUGCCAACAUUCGUCAAUCAACCUGCACAGGGUUCAAGAAUGCAUCAGAAACCAUUAGACUCCUUAUUCAGGAGAAAGCUUUACAUAUUCGACAUUUUUCUGCAUAAUGCAUGCACAUAAAUAUAUGGAAUUAAUAGGUUUCCAUAAUGAGAUUUUCUAAAAAAGAAAAAGAAAAAACCUAAAAUUAUGACCAUACUUGAAGUUCUACGCAGCUAAAAUUUUAGAGCAAUUGGAAGUCAAAUCAAAAGAAUAUUAGAAUAUUAAAAUAAACACAGAUUCCCAUUAAAUGGGAAGAAAUGACGAAGAUCAUCAUUGAAUCCAUAAAAUAUAUGCAACAGUAUGCCACCUAAAUUUCAGGCCCUCAUCCUACUUCUCGCUGACUUCAUGUAAUCAUUCCCACCUAGUCAUCAUAAAUUUGGUUGGCGCUCUUCUAGUUAUAACCUCAUCAGGCCAUGACAUAGUUGUGGACUAGAAUUUCAAGAACUGUUACAAAUUUACAAUUCAAACUUCAAAGCAUACUCAGAAGAAUAACUAGCCUUUCCAGCUA
rnacentral:misc_RNA from 1 species